ACCUAGCUGGCUCAGUUGGUAGAGCAUGCUACUCUUUAUCUCAUGGUUGUGGGUUCGAGCCCCACGUUGGGCA
rnacentral:tRNA from 1 species